GACGUAGGGCGCGAGCGUUGUCCGGAUUUAUUGGGCGUAAAGAGCUCGUAGGCGGCUUGUCGCGUCGAAUGUGAAAACUCGGGGCUCAACUCCGAGCUUGCAUUCGAUACGGGCAGGCUAGAGUUCGGUAGGGGGAGACUGGAAUUCCUGGUGUAGCGGUGAAAUGCGCAGAUAUCAGGAGGAACACCGGUGGCGAAGGCGGGUCUCUGGGCCGAUACUGACGCUGAGGAGCGAAAAGCGUGGGGGAGCGAACAGG
rnacentral:rRNA from 1 species